GAGUUUGAUCCUGGCUCAGAUUGAACGCUGGCGGUAUGCUUAACACAUGCAAGUCGAACGGUAACAGGAGAGAGCUUGCUCUUUUGCUGACGAGUGGCGGACGGGUGAGUAAUGCGUAGGAAUCUGCCUAGUAGUGGGGGACAACGUGUGGAAACGCACGCUAAUACCGCAUACGCCCUACGGGGAAGCGGGGAGUCUUCGGACCUCGCGCUAUUAGAUGAGCCUACGUUAGAUUAGCUAGUUGGUGGG
rnacentral:rRNA from 1 species